rnacentral:rRNA from 1 species
CUGCAUGAAGUCGGAAUUGCUAGUAAUCGCGGAUCAGCAUGCCGCGGUGAAUACGUUCCCGGGCCUUGUACACACCGCCCGUCACACCAUGGGAGCCGGUAAUACCCGAAGUCAGUAGUCCAACCUCGUGAGGGCGCUGCCGAAGGUAGGAUUGGCGACUGGGGUGAAGUCGUAACAAGGUACC